rnacentral:rRNA from 1 species
GGGAAUAACUUCGGGAAACUGAAGCUAAUACCGGAUGAUGACGUAAGUCCAAAGAUUUAUCGCCCAAGGAUGAGCCCGCGUAGGAUUAGCUAGUUGGUGAGGUAAAGGCUCACCAAGGCUACGAUCCUUAGCUGGUCUGAGAGGAUGAUCAGCCACACUGGGACUGAGACACGGCCCAG